rnacentral:misc_RNA from 1 species
UUUCCGUAGGUGAACCUGCGGAAGGAUCAUUAGAGAAUUAUGAGAGCUUCGUGCUUUCUAAUACCCUAUAACCAUAAACACCUGUGCACCUUUAUAUAUAAUUAGAGUUGUUGUAGCUAUUAAUCCUUCGGGAUGAACGCAUGACAUCGCUAACUACAUACACAAACAUUAUAGUCUUGAAUGUAAUACAAAUUGUAACAAAAAUACAACUUUCAACAACGGAUCUCUUGGCUCUCGCAUCGAUGAAGAACGCAGC